rnacentral:rRNA from 1 species
AUGCACUACUCUUGUUAUAAUUAUAUGCUAACCAUUCAUAUUUUGUACUCUUGUUAUGAGUACAGACAGGAGCACAAAACUAUGGAUUUGAACUUGAUCCCGGAAGAGGAAGAUGAAGCUCAACAAGAAGAACAAGCUCAGCAAGGUGAUGCUAUUGAUUUGAACUUGAUCCCAGAAGAGGAAGAUGAAGCUCAACAAGAAGAACAAUCCCAACGAGGUGACGCUAUGCAUUUGAACUUGAUCCCGGAAGAGGAGGAUGAAGACAUUGAAUUGAAUUGGUUUCUUGAAGAGGAAGAAGCUCAAGAGGCACAAGAAGAUGCAUCAUUGGAAGAAGCUCAAGAGGCACAAGAAGAUGCAUUAGUGGAAGAAGCUCAAGAGGCACAAGAAGAUGCAGAAGUGAGAGAAGCUCAAGAAGCUGAUGCACAAGGCAACCCAAGAGGGAAGGACAUGACAGACAAGGAGAGAUAUGGUGUUUACUUUGCUCUGCGAGUAAUCGAGCUUAGAGAUGGAUAG